ACCUGUUUGGGGCACAUUCCUCUCUCUCUCUCCCUCCCUCCCUCUUCUUUCUAUCUCUCUGUUCUGCUCUGCUCUACACUUUCUCCCUCCUAGGGUUUCUGUUCGUCGGAGUAGUGGAAGCUGCAAUUACUUCCUCCCGGAGAAAAGCUGUCUUCUCGCUGCUCAAUGCUUGAUUCUGAGCCUUUCAGGUUCUCCUAAAUCAGCUGGGAAAAGAGGUGGAUUUGGCUCCUCUGAAGUUUUGAUCGGAUCUUAAGUGGGAAAAAUGUCAUCGAGAGGGAGGUCGGAUUAGCCUCCGCAGCCGUAGAGGCGGAUCUGGCGGACGCAAACCGCCGGGAACCUUGGGGAAUCCAUCUUCGACAAUGAGGUCGUUCCGUCGUUGCUUGUCGAGAUUGCGCCGAUUCUCUGUGUUGCCAAUGAGGUCGAAUCGAGCAACCCCAGGGUCUCAUCUGGGCCCUUUCAUUUUCCUUUUUCUUUAUCUUAAUAGUUUUGUUUCUCUGAGCUGAGCAUUUUUAGGUGAUUUUCUCAUCUGGGUACUUUUUUUUUGCUUUCUUCUCUUUAUGGGGUUUGGAUUCCGUGUUCUUGCUCUUGCCCAUAUGUUGUGGCAUUUAUUGGCAAUUUGAUGCGUUGUGAUCUUUGAUUGUUUUCUGGGAAAAAAAGGAUCUGGGGUUUGCUUGA